rnacentral:tRNA from 1 species
GGGCUCGUAGCUCAGUUGGUAGAGCACUUGACUUUUAAUCAAGUUGUCCCGGGUUCGAAUCCCGGCGAGCCCACCA